rnacentral:rRNA from 1 species
UGGUGAGCUACUUCGAAAUAGUUUUUAGAACAAACCCGUCUCUGUUGCAAUAGAGUGGGGUAAUUUUCAAGUAGAGGCGAUAAACCUACCGCACCUAGAGAUAGCUGGUUGCUCAAGAAAAGAAUUUAAGUUCAGCCUUAAGUUUCUAAAUUAAAUAAAAAUUACAUAAAACUUAAGAGUUAUUCAAAUAAGGCACAGCUUAUUUGAAGCAGGAUACAACCUCCCCUUUAGGGUAAUACUUGAGAGACCGUAACAAGUGGGCCUAAAAGCAGCCACCUUCCAAAGAGCGUUAAAGCUUAAUACCUGUCUCAUCCAAAUGUCUUAAUAUAUCAAUAACCCAUCACCAAUAUUGAGCAAUUCCAUAAAUUUAUGGAAGAUAUAAUGCUUGAACUAGUAACAAGAAAUAAAUUUUCUCCAUAAUGUAAGCUUAAGCCGCUAUAGACAACCUACCGGCAAUCAACGUGAAUGCAACUAUUAUAGUAACUUUAACAAGAAAACCCUAUAAACUAAUGACGUUAACCUUACACCAGAACAUUAAUGGAAAGAUUAAAAGGGAGAGAAGGAACUCGGCAAAAUUUAACCUCGCCUGUUUACCAAAAACAUCGCCUCUUGUUAAAACAUAAGAGGUCCAGCCUGCCCAGUGACCUAGUUUAACGGCCGCGGUACCCUAACCGCGCGAAGGUAGCAUAAUCACUUGUUCUUUAAAUGAGGACUUGUAUCAACGGCACCACGAGGGUUUUACUGUCUCCUCCCCCUAAUCAGUGAAACUAAUCUCCCCGUGAAGAAGCGGGGAUGAACCUAUAAGACGAGAAGACCCCAUGGAGCUUUAAACUAAAUUACAAUCCAACUUGAACACACCCGCAUAUUUAGUAGGAUCCUGUACAUUCAGCUUUAGGUUGGGGUGACCACGGAGUAAAAAUUAACCUCCAUGAUAAACGAAUACUUUUCUUAUCUAAGAAUUACACUUCUAAGAAUUAGUAUACUAAUAUAAAAUGAUCCGAUAAUCGAUCAACGGACCAAGUUACCCUGGGGAUAACAGCGCAAUCCAUUUUAAGAGCCCCUAUCGACAAAUGGGUUUACGACCUCGAUGUUGGAUCAGGAUAUCCUAGUGGUGCAGCA